rnacentral:misc_RNA from 1 species
GAUGAAGAACGUAGCGAAAUGCGAUACUUGGUGUGAAUUGCAGAAUCCCGUGAACCAUCGAGUCUUUGAACGCAAGUUGCGCCCGAAGCCAUCAGGUUGAGGGCACGUCUGCCUGGGCGUCACAUAUCGUUGCCCAAUGCCUAUUGCAGUGCAAUAGGAAUUUCUAGGGCGAAUGAUGGCUUCCCGUGAGCGUUGUUGCCUCGCGGUUGGUUGAAAAUCGAGUCCUUGGUAGGGUGUGCCAUGGUAGAUGGUGGUCGAGUUAGAACGAUACCGAUCAUGUGCAUGCUCCCCAAAAUAUGGCCUCUAUGACCCACACGCGUCUUUUGACGCUCAUGACGAGACCUCAGGUCAGGCGGGGCUACCCGCUGUAUUUAAGCAUAUCAAUAAGCGGAGGA